rnacentral:rRNA from 1 species
GGCGGGGAUUAGUGGCGAACGGGUGAGUAACACGUGGGCAAUCUGCCCUGCACUCUGGGACAAGCCCUGGAAACGGGGUCUAAUACCGGAUACAACCACUUCGGGCAUCCGAUGGUGGUGGAAAGCUCCGGCGGUGCAGGAUGAGCCCGCGGCCUAUCAGCUUGUUGGUGAGGUAACGGCUCACCAAGGCGACGACGGGUAGCCGGCCUGAGAGGGCGACCGGCCACACUGGGACUGAGACACGGCCCAGACUCCUACGGGAGGCAGCAGUGGGGAAUAUUGCACAAUGGGCGCAAGCCUGAUGCAGCGACGCCGCGUGAGGGAUGACGGCCUUCGGGUUGUAAACCUCUUUCAGCAGGGAAGAAGCGCAAGUGACGGUACCUGCAGAAGAAGCGCCGGCUAACUACGUGCCAGCAGCCGCGGUAAUACGUAGGGCGCGAGCGUUGUCCGGAAUUAUUGGGCGUAAAGAGCUCGUAGGCGGCUUGUCGCGUCGGUUGUGAAAGCCCGGGGCUUAACCCCGGGUCUGCAGUCGAUACGGGCAGGCUAGAGUUCGGUAGGGGAGAUCGGAAUUCCUGGUGUAGCGGUGAAAUGCGCAGAUAUCAGGAGGAACACCGGUGGCGAAGGCGGAUCUCUGGGCCGAUACUGACGCUGAGGAGCGAAAGCGU